CGCACGAGGUUGCGUCGGGCGGUGUUUUACUUUAAACGGAAAAAGAGAGGACGCCGAGAUGCCCCUGGAAAAAUCACGACUGAAACUCGCUGCGUCAUGACCCUCCCACCGGCUUCCGCCGCUUUUUAAUUACACCAGUUCUCUCCGAGCGCUGAUUGGGCAGUUCUAACCCGCCCGCACGAUGACGCGACGGAAACUCCUUCUCCCAUUGGGGGCGGUGGAGAGGAGGAGCCAGAGGCGGGGCUGCUUGCCCGGGAGCUAAAAAUAAAUUCGGACUGGGACCGCGCGGUUGGGCACCAGUGAGGUUUGAAGGCUUCGAACUUCGUAAGGGUCGGUGGCGGACGGGAGGGGCGGAGAGAAGCUAGCUCCCCAGUGAUUGGUUAGGUCGGGGUGAGAAGGCGGGGCAAGGUGUGAGAGAUGCGGUGAUUGGUGGAACGCUGAGAGGUUCGUGGACUCCCGCCCUCUGAGCCCUUAAAAGGCGCGAGGCGCGUGGCGGUUGCUCGCUGGGCUGUUGGUUGUGGUGCUGAUGAAGGGCCCUGGGUGUGGCCAAUUUUGGGGUACAAGAAGGGACGCCAGCCCGGGAGGCCUGGUUCCUGCAAAAAGAAGGUGAAAGCCGGGCCCAAGAAAUGAUGCGAUCAGAGCUUUCCGUCAUGGUUUUGGGAGGAAGACCACAGAGGUAAAGUGCCAUUUUCAUCACAUCAAAGGUGCAUCGUAUCCCUGUGACCGACCACUGUGGUUGUUGUCCUUGAUCACCUGUCUGAGGUGGUGACUGUCAGCUUCCCCACAGUACGCGGGCCUCUCACUGUCGUGGCCUCGCCCGUUGCAGAG